CAUAACAGUCCCUAUGGGAAGAACAGGACAGAGAGUGACAUACUUGAAAUGUUUCCCCAGGAGAGUUUGGCAUUCUUUCGAUACAGCCUGUAUCAGAGGAAGGCACCUCAUUGCUACUGAGUGGAAACAACAAAAUAAAUGAAGGUGGCAAAAGCUAAUCCCUAGCUAUUGUAAUUUUAAAUGCAGAUAAGGGUAGUCUUUAACCUUCAUUGAAGAAAUCUUUUUGCAACAGUAAGCGACCACUCCAGAAAACAACAACCAAUAAAAAUGCAGAGUCGUGGAGCUCCGUCCAAACAGUUACAUCAACAAUCAGACUGCACCUUCACUCCAGGUUCAGAGAUCAUUUCAGAAGAGGGAUUGGAAAAUUACAAGUGCCCGAGGAACUGGGAGUUUGCUGUAAGACUGUAUUUUCUGGUAAUAUUAGAAGCUAUACACAAAGUCUCAGAAAUAUGAAGACCCAAAUGUGAGCAAUGAUGACACCAAUAAACAAGCUGAACUGUGUGGGGAAAAGCCUAUAAGGCCUCAACUCAACACAAAGAGCCAUGGACAACUGAGGAAAGAGCACACCAACUGGCUAUCCAGUGCCAAACAGUGAUUCCUGAAAACAUGUGCACAGGACUGGAAAGAUGGCUCAAAGGGUAGAGGCGCAAGCCUGAGACCUGUGUUUGAUCCUGGGAACAGAGGAAAAGGUGAAAGAAAAGAACUGACUCCACAAAGUCUUCUCCCUUCCACAUGAGAGUAGGGCAUGCACACCCAUGCAUGUGCUUUAUGAAUGCACACACAAUAAUAAAUUAAUUUUUUAAAAAAACUUGAAAGUAUAUAAAAAAAUCCCAUUUUGAUAGGCUUGGUAAGCUUGAUAGGAUAAAGCAGGUUUGUUUCAUCCACUUGAGACUUUCUGAGAGGUACUUAAGUCAUAUGGAAAUCAAAUCUUCCCAUUCUGUUUCAAUAACAAUGAAUUUUAGUUAUUCCUGUCACAAUUUUAGUUUGUUUUAAUAGUGCAGGGCAUGGUGU
rnacentral:lncRNA from 1 species